ACCUCAGCAGAAAUACUCUCAGAAAGAUGAUAUUACUAUCUGCUUCUGCUUCUAGGUUCUGUUGGAGAAAGUUGUGGAAGAAGAGAGGAUUUCAGGCAAAUAAAGAGAAGCCAACUGUAAUGUGAAUUGUUGGGGGCUUGGACUGCUGUUUUUUCCCUUCAUUUGUGUAGCACAGUGCCUGGCACAUAUUCCAGGGCACUCUGUGUGAAGAAUGAGUACGGACCUCAGUCUGACAUACACCAUCACAAUGAAGAAGCGCUGAGAAGCACAAGGGCAAACAUCAUGGGUGCCAUAUAUGUCCUAACCUCAACUAGUUUCUCCCCUGAGCCCUCUUAACACAUACUCUGUGUGCCACCAUGCCCUCUCACAAUGUCAAGAAUAAGCAUUAGGAUUUUCCACAUACAUCAGUCCCCUUCCUAUCAUCUGGUACCCUCAGAUAAACAUUCUCCAUUUCCAACCAUUUCAACUGUUUCCUCCCUCUGCACCCCUAUGACAUUUGCAUGUUGAAAAACAUUAUAUUAGUCACACAAAAGGAAAAGCAAGUGAUAUAUAGAGAUUCUAUGUUCCUUUACAAGAAAAAAAAUUCCAAGAGAAAUCCUGUCCCCUCCCCCAGAAAUAACAAACAGUAUUGAGUACUUAAGGAAGUCCUGUCUACCUCUGACUUGUGCAGCAGCCUUGCUGUUCAUAUGAUCCUGACCUAGUGAAUUGAAUCCCACAUUUUGUCAAGGAAAUUAAGACUCAGAAAGUUGAAGUAACUUUCUCAAAGUGGCAGAACUGGAAUGAGAACGCAGUUCUUGUGACCCCUGAUCUUCUAGGUAUGUGCCCAGAAUUCAAGAGCCCAAUUUCAUGGAGAGAGUUCCAAGCUUCAAGAAGCAAUGAUACAACUUGGGCCUAAGGUCACCUGUCUGUCAUGGAAGGGAAAAUUGGACCUCAUCAGAUAGAGUUGUCAGUUUCAUAAAUAUUCAGAGACGCUACUCUACACAUAGCAGACUUGGUCUAAAGGACCUUGCCAACCGGUCGGGAUAAAAAAUAAUAUUAAUCAAUUAAUAGUAAUA